UGCUAAUACCGGAUAAUAACAGAUGAUGCCUAUCAACUGUUUAAAAGAUGGUUCUGCUAUCACUCUUGGAUGGACCUGCGGUGCAUUAGCUAGUUGGUAGGGUAACGGCCUACCAAGGCGAUGAUGCAUAGCCGAGUUGAGAGACUGAUCGGCCACAUUGGGACUGAGACACGGCCCAAACUCCUACGGGAGGCAGCAGGC
rnacentral:rRNA from 1 species